UACAGAGGGUGCGAGCGUUAAUCGGAAUUACUGGGCGUAAAGCGCACGUAGGCGGCUUGGUAUGUCGGGUGUGAAAUCCCCGGGCUCAACCUGGGAACUGCAUCCGAAACUGCCUUGCUAGAGUAUGGGAGAGGGAAGUGGAAUUUCCGGUGUAGCGGUGAAAUGCAUAGAUAUCGGGAGGAACACCGGUGGCGAAGGCGGCGACCUGGGUCGAUACUGACGCUGAGGUGCGAAAGCGUGGGGAGCAAACAGG
rnacentral:rRNA from 1 species